CCGGCAGCGCCGCCGCCGCCGCCGCUCCGACCCGCUUCCCGGCGCUGCGGGGACGGGCCAGACGGGAAGAGGCGCUCGGCGGCCCGCCCAGUGAGCCUUAGUGAAAUGUCCUCUCUCUGGGUCACCGGAGGUGUGAGUUUGCUCCCAGUUCCUGUGCUGGAUUAUGGAUUCCAAGGAGGAGGAACCAGGAACAGUGGAUCUAAGUGAACCAUAACCUCCGUCACCAGAUGUCCCACUGAUUGCGCAAAAAACGUGUAAGGAGUCGUGCAUCCAGGGAGAAUGCAUAGUAUCUUCUUGGUACAUCUAAACAAAAACAAGAUUACUGUAAAUGGAAGGAGUGCAUCAGGUUGAUUUGCCAUCAUUGGAAAAAAAGAAGCAGGUAUCAAUGGGGAGACAGAGUACCAACGAGGAGCCGAAUCUUUGGAGGAUAAGACCACUGAGGAUCUGGUUACACACAACGCUUGGGGCACCUUACAUGCUCUAAGAAAUGCACACAAACUGAAUAUGGCAAGGUUGGAGAGAAAGUACAUCAAGCAACAGGAAAAUUGAUGGGACAAGUGCCAGCUGUGGGCAAGACUUGCCUUAUACUAAGUCCCAAGGUCUGUGUUUAGAGAAGAACACCUGUUUCUUCUGUUGUUAGCCCAAAGGCAUUCAUUAUUGUGAGACAUGGCAUUAUGAAGCUACUGUCAUGCAUGGUUCAGUGAAGUUUCUUCGUAGCACUAACGAAGAGGCUGACGCUAAAAUUAUCUUGCAUGCCAUCAAUGCCACAAAGAGAAGUGCAACUGAACUCCAAAUGUUUGCACAAGACUCAGAUGUUCUAGUGCUCUCUGUGCAAUUGUGACGGAAUGCAUGCCAUACUCACACCCUACACACUAUUGUAAUAAUCUUUGAACAAAGUAUGCCUUGAGAGGUAUCAUUUGAAAACUCAUAACU